GGGAGGCAGCAGUGGGGAAUCUUGCACAAUGGGCGAAAGCCUGAUGCAGCCAUGCCGCGUGAAUGAUGAAGGCCUUAGGGUUGUAAAAUUCUUUCAUCAGGGACGAUAAUGACGGUACCUGAAGAAGAAGCCCCGGCUAACUUCGUGCCAGCAGCCGCGGUAAUACGAAGGGGGCUAGCGUUGUUCGGAAUUACUGGGCGUAAAGCGCACGUAGGCGGACUUUUAAGUCUGGGGUGAAAGCCCGGAGCUCAACUCCGGAACUGCCUUGGAUACUGGGAGUCUUGAGGAUGGAAGAGGUAAGUGGAAUACCGAGUGUAGAGGUGAAAUUCGUAGAUAUUCGGUGGAACACCAGUGGCGAAGGCGACUUACUGGUCCAUUUCUGACGCUGAGGUGCGAAAGUGUGGGGAGCAAACAGGAUUAGAUACCCUGGUAGUCCACACCGUAAACGAUGAGAGCUAGUUGUUGGCAGGUUUACCUGUCGGUGACGCAGCUAACGCAUUAAGCUCUCCGCCUGGGGAGUACGGCCGCAAGGUUAAAACUCAAAGAAAUUGACGGGGGCCCGCACAAGCGGUGGAGCAUGUGGUUUAAUUCGAAGCAACGCGCAGAACCUUACCCACGUUUGACAUGCCUGGAUGUGAUCAGAGAUGUGAUCGUUCCUUCGGGACCAGUGCACAGGUGCUGCAUGGCUGUCGUCAGCUCGUGUCGUGAGAUGUUGGGUUAAGUCCCGCAACGAGCGCAACCCUCACCCUUAGUUGCUAACAGGUUUGGCUGAGAACUCUAAGGGAACUGCCCGUGGCAAGCGGGAGGAAGGUGGGGAUGACGUCAAGUCCUCAUGGCCCUUACGCGUGGGGCUACACACGUGCUACAAUGGCAGUGACAAUGGGAUAAUCCCAAAAAGCUGUCUCAGUUCAGAUUGGGGUCUGCAACUCGACCCCAUGAAGUUGGAAUCGCUAGUAAUCGUGGAUCAGCAUGCCACGGUGAAUACGUUCCCGGGCCUUGUACACACCGCCCGUCACACCAUGGGAGUUGGAUUUACCCGAAGGUGGUUCGCUAACCGUAAGGAGGCAGCCAACCACGGUA
rnacentral:rRNA from 1 species